CAGUCGCCGCGGGAAUACGGAGGGUGCAAGCGUUAAUCGGAAUUACUGGGCGUAAAGCGCACGCAGGCGGUCUGACAAGUCAGAUGUGAAAUCCCCGGGCUUAACCUGGGAACUGCAUUUGAAACUGUCAGGCUGGAGUCUUGUAGAGGGGGGUGGAAUUCCAGGUGUAGCGGUGAAAUGCGUAGAGAUCUGGAGGAAUACCGGUGGCGAAGGCGGCCCCCUGGACAAAGACUGACGCUCAGGUGCGAAAGCGUGGGGAGCAAACAGGAUUAGAUACCCCGGUAGUCCCUGUCUCUUUACA
rnacentral:rRNA from 1 species